AAAAUGCAGUUUUAUAGUUUUCCCACUAAUUCUGCCAUUUUGACUUUUAUUUUGGAAGUUCAUUCCCAGACAUACACAACUUUCAGUUUAGUGUCUAUCCUACUUAGCUAGUAUUUAUUAAAGGUCAAGUUUUAAAUACAUAUAAUGUAUAGAGUGUUUUGAUCAUCCAGCAACCAUCUAGCCCCCCUGUGCCCCUCAUGCCUCCCUAAAUAUAGUAAAAUCUUACUUGUAUUCAAG